CGUUGUUCCGCUGCUAGAAGUUUUCCGCUGCUACGAGAUGUUCCGCUGCUAGCAUAGAGCAAGUGUAGUAUCGCAGGCGUAGUGUCGCCAUGCUGAUGUGAUCAUUGUAACAUCUGACCCAUGUAAUUAUUAUUCUUGUAGUGAGAGCUGAUUUGUUCUAUGUCAAGCAGUGUCGUAUUCCAUAGACUUCUCCUUGAUCUCUGGGCUGGAAUACGGGGUGUUCCGGUUUCUCUGAGCCGGGGUGCCAGAGGCUUGGUAUCAGAGCAGGUCUAGCUAUAGGACGCCCUAGUUAGCGCGAUUAGUAGAAACCGGUAGAAAUCGGUAGUUUAGAGGUGGUCUUGUUUGUCGCAUUUGGUUGCUGCAUUUGUUUGUUGCAUAACAUGAAUGUAGCCUUAUUAUUUUGUUACUAACGGUUUAAUCUAGUGAGUGUAGGUGGCAUCGGUCUGGAUCCACUACAGCUCAGCCUUUACACUUCUCCAGUUUUCUUGCUCAUUCUUCGGUGUUUAGCGUCAUUUCUGUCCCGGCAGAGUGAUGCCAAGUGGUCCUGACACUGUUUGCAAACAUGGUGCUCAAGUAUCACGCCGAGUUAUUUCCUUCAGCCCCACCUUUUGUUUCAGUGGUAGACAUGCUUCUAUCACGGAUCGUCCUUUUGCUUGUCAUUUUGGCAACCCUUAAUGAUCAUAGUUAUCAAGAAAGGGCAAUGUCAGCAGCCUCAGUUUUUCCCCGCUAUCCUAUUUCUUGGACGAGUACAGACCUUUUUCCGUCCACUUGAUGAUAAUGUGGUUGCGACCUUCGUGUCCCGCUAUGUGAUUACCGAGUGCGUCCUCACCUCUGAGCUAGUCCAGGUUGCUACCUGGCUAGGCUAGCACUUGGUGUAGCGCUAUCUACACCGAUUCUUCCACACAUAGAUUCGUCCUCCUGCACAACGUCACAACAUGUUCGAUCGUAGAGCCGGAGAUCCCGUGAGAAUUGUGUGCUUUAGUAGGCAUGCAUAUUGUGUGACUAGCAGUAAUAUGUGAUAUUGAUUGUGUGUGAAUUUAUUGAUGUUAUGUGUUUUUGUUUAGUUGAGUUUUCUUUUGCUUCUUUCUUUUUGGGACCCGGUGUUACAUUAUUUUUCCCCUAUAAACAAUUGCUCAUCAACUGACACCGGACUCGAAGAAGUGAUAAGUAUUUCCAAUAUUUGGAAGAAGCUCAGCUAAACAUUAUGGCCUUCUCAGUCAACCGCAUGAUAUAAGGAAUAUCUACUCAGAAUACCAAUUGUGUCUUGGAUUGAUUAUCCGCAUCAAUUCUACCGCAGUAAUGAUCCAGCGAGCAGAAAGAUAAGUCAGAUGCAAGACCCACGGUAUAUUUUUCAGUCAAAGGUAUGGAUCAUAGGCAAAGUUUUGGCUCAGCAAUAAAUGAUACUUGAAAUAUGUUAUAUUCCAAGAGAAAGUCAGGAUGUGAUAUGCUCAACGAAGACAGUCAAACAAUUUUUCUCAUGCAAAUGAUCAGCCUCAAAAUAUUAUGGACGUGUGCAUGGAUUUCAGUCUGCAUAUCAGUAUGAAGUUUUGGAUAUAAGAAACCCAGCAUUAUUCCACACGCUAUCGGAAGAAAUUCAUGAGGCAAGACUCCUCAAUUUUUUUCCGCAGCAUGAUAUGUGAAUAAUUUCCGGCCCACGGUACCCGGUCUUUCUCAACAAGAUACCUCAGUAAAAGCUUCUCACAGGCGGAAAUGAUUUUUUUCUCAACAAGCAAAACCGAGGAGAAGCUUCUCAAUUACGGAAAACUCGACUUCUCCUGCACACUACUCAGGUCAAGCUUCGUGUGUAAGCUAUCAAGGCUUCUUCUGCAUGCUACCCAGACAAAAGCUUCAACUAGAAGCUAAUGAGCCUUCCUCGGCAAACUACACAAAUUGCUUUUCUCUGCAGAUCAAGGAUCAGAUUUGCAAUAAGUUUGUCAGAGAUAUACCUAAGAAAGGUACGGAUCUAACAACCUCGUGAGCCAUGCAUAUGAAGAUAAGCAGAGAUACAUCUCAUGAAUUACAAGGAUCGACAAGAUCGGGAGAUGACAUCACAAAAUCAACAGUCAUCUAGGUCAUUAUUCCCGCACCAGACAAGGUGAUAUAUAAACUCUUGUCACCUUCUUGUAUGAUUGGCCUCAGCAAUGAGCUCCGUACAGCUACAAACCUCGAGGGCAUGUCAUAUAUGUGUAGAGGCAGGUCAGAAAAACAAGCACAAAGAAUCAAGGACAUGUGUGGCCAAGUUAUUUUAGCAAGGUAUCCUGACAAAGAAAAUCAUGAGUUCAUGACCGUUAAAGGGUGAGGCUGACAACAAAGGUAUGAUGUAUUUUGCACGACCAUCAGGGUCCGGAUACCCAAAUCAGUUGGAGGCCAUAAUUCCAUAUGGAUCCACAAAGACAUACACCUUCAGCGGCCUACUCUAUUUACAAGGAUUUUCACAUCCCGCUGACCCACUUUACAUGGUUAGUGUGGAAUAUCCAAGUCUGUUAUGUCAGAUCCAAGAUUCCAUUGCAACCUCAACAGUUUGACCUAAACGGCAGAGUUAAAACAUAUCACAGCGUAUUGCCAAAAAUGGGUAUACCGACAAAAUGAGAAAGUCAAAAGCCGAAUAAUCAGCUCAGACCCGGUAUACUCACCGACGGGAUCAAGUACAUGGUCAGUCUGUCAGGAAAAGCAUUUGUCCGUGAGCCCCUAUUGGGCAAAGUAUCAAGAUAUAAAUAUUUGAGGUAUGGCAUAGCUAUAACUCCAUACACCGUUAUAUUGCUCACGACAGAAGGCAGUCAAAUCUCUGUUGUAUGCCACAUGCUCGAGCCAAAGGAAAUAAAGCAAGAUAAAUCGGUGCACCUAUGAGCAGUCAGAUCCCAUUAGAAGAUGGCCAGAUUAAUUCUAAGUAUUUAUUGAACCCAGAAGGCUUGCAUUUAUUUGCAUCAACCCCAUGACAGAAAUAAAAAGGUUUUCAUGACCAAAUGGAAAUUUAUGAUCAGAUCCGUCAGACAUCACCAUAGCUAUGUGGAAAUCAACGUCAGCAAAAGGAUUUGGUAUAUGAGCAAAGACCCAUCAAAGUUUGGGGAAAAGCCACCCUAGAGCAAGGUAAGUUUAUCAUCUGAAAUUCUUGGGGGAACAAUAAAUAAAGGAAAAAGGAUGCCCGAGUUGGAAACGGUAUCCUCAAGUCAUACUUGUUCCUAGAGAAACUAAAUCUCAAGGACGAGAUUUCUUUAAGGGGGUAAGAGUUGUAACAACCUGGAUUUUGGCCCUUUUCUUUUUCUUUUUAAUUUAUUGGUUUUUGCUCUGUUUUUCUUUUUGGAGUUGUUCUGUGGCCUUGUCACCUGGGAAAUCAUCCUCUUUUUCCAUCCCAAGUGGCUCAUCAUUCUCAAAACCCUGCCAAGAUCAUGUCACUUCACAGCUUGCCCAAACCCUAAUUUCUUUUUUCUCGGGAAUAUUCCUUUUUCUAUUAAAAGAAUAACCAUGUCUGCCCUAGGUUGUGAAGCAACCUAUAUUACCAUCACUCCUAAAAUUCCAAAAUAAUUCUCAUAAAUUGUUUGGGCCAUAUAUUUCCCAAAUAUGGCAAAAUAUUUCAUUUGUCAUGUUUAUCAUCUUGCUCAAAUAAUUCAUUUCCUAUUCUGUCUUGAAUGGCAGAAUGUGAAGCAAGUGCUAUUUUUCUUUGCCCAAUUGACCUCAAACUCCUUGGACACCUUUUCCUGUCCAUAUCAUUGCAACAUGCCAAAAUGCAACCUCAUUUGCCAAGUAAUUACUUAAUUAUGAUUUUCCAAAGUUUCUAUCCAGAAAUAAGCUUUGUGAAGGAGGUGCAAGCUAGGCAUAUCCAAAUGAGUUGCCAUUUUGCAUGGUCCCUCAUAUCAUCAUAUCAUAGCCCUCCACCAAAGUAGAGCUCAUGUUAUUACUCCAUGGGAGCUCAAUUUCAAUUCUUUGAUUCUGCCAAGAAUUUUAGUUUGUGAAGCAAGUACAUUUUAUCUUGCUCCAUUAUGGCUGCCAAUUUUUCUAGGCCUUCUAUUAUCCAUAUAACCUACAUCCACCCAUUUUGGGCAUGGUUCAUCCAGCCAAUAUUUCUCUAGAAUUUUUGAGAGUUUCUGGUCAGCAAGGAUGUUUGUGAAGCAAGUACCAUUUUGGUGAAACCAAUUGGUAUGAAACUUAUACAGCAUCUUUAUAUGAUCACAUCAUGAAGCCUUGCCAAACAUGAACUCAAAGUGGCCACACCAUUUGAGUGCAUCAUCCAAAUCUCAUUCUGGACCAUUUUGGUCGGUUGCAAAGCAACUAUGAUUUAUCUUGAUCCAAUUCUUCUCCAAGUUACCAGGAUGAAAGUCCUUCUUUACCUCAACCUCGCACACAACUUCAUUGGAUCCAAAACCCUUCCUGUUGAUCAAUAGUGCUCACCCAAGUUUACUGCAGUAAACUUCAUACGUCAUUUACCAUUUAACCACAGCACCUCAGGUCGAGACAAUGGCACAUUAAUUCUCUAUCUUAGAAGGACAAAACGCUAGACACCAUUUCCAUGCCUCUCGUGGUCUCCCUGUGCCAUGUCAUGUGGUGACCGCGCAGCUGGCAUGCACAUUUACGCGCUCUGUGCACUAUGGUGUGUCCGGAGCACCGUUUGUGCUUUGGCACCGCUCCCCCUCGUCGGCUUCGGGCGCGUGAGCAUGUCCCUUGGCUUCACCUCGUCGUCGCCGAUCNNNNNNNNNNNNNNNNNNNNNNNNNNNNNNNNNNNNNNNNNNNNNNNNNNNNNNNNNNNNNNNNNNNNNNNNNNNNNNNNNNNNNNNNNNNNNNNNNNNNNNNNNNNNNNNNNNNNNNNNNNNNNNNNNNNNNNNNNNNNNNNNNNNNNNNNNNNNNNNNNNNNNNNNNNNNNNNNNNNNNNNNNNNNNNNNNNNNNNNNNNNNNNNNNNNNNNNNNNNNNNNNNNNNNNNNNNNNNNNNNNNNNNNNNNNNNNNNNNNNNNNNNNNNNNNNNNNNNNNNNNNNNNNNNNNNNNNNNNNNNNNNNNNNNNNNNNNNNNNUCACCGAGGAAAACCGCCGUGCGCCCACGAGAGCACAGUGCUCCGUUUGGCUCUGCUCGUCGCCGUCGUCAUCCUCCCUGUGCUCCCUUGGCCGCCUCUGCCCCGUGAGAACCUCCACUGCUCCUCCUGCGCCGUCUACCUCCGAGCUCGCAAGCGUGGGCACGCGUCCGCGGCGCCGAACACGCAUCCGUGGCGGUGCCAGCUCGGCACUCCUUCCAUCUGCCUAUUUAAGCCCUUCCCCGAGCCCUCCAAGCUCACAAACCUCUUCCUCUCCUUCCCAGAGCCCUGUGCCGCCUCUUCUUUGAGCUCUAGAAGCUCUCCUCGCCACAAACCAUCACCACGGCCGCCGCUCCCUCCGCCCUAAAUUCUUCGGAGCCGAGCCCUCCCUCUCCUCAUAGCCACUACCAGAGCACCACCUAGUCCCCGACGGUCCUCCCCAUAUACUUAGUUCGUCGCCGGAGCCCUCAUCGCUGCAUGCCCCAUCUUGGCCGAAGACCAUGCGCCGCGGGUGCUCUCUGUUGUCGCCGCUAUAGCACUCCCCGGCGUGCGUGCAGCCCCUGGAUGGGUGCUGGCCUCUGUCCCGAGGCCAUCAGUGUCUUCUCCCUGGCCGGAGAUGGCCGGAGCUGGCCGGAAUCCUGCGGCGUCGUCGACCCACUCCCUGUCUAGUGAGCAGGCGCGGGGAAGAAGAAGGGGGAGGCGGGAGGAGGGAGUUGACCAGUGUGUGGCCCCCGCGGGCCCACCAGUCAGCAACCCAAGCCCCGGCCCUGCACCCUCGCUGACAUGGAUAAGUGGAAGCGGGAAUGGCUCGGGUGCGCUCUCCCCUCACGAAAGCGUACUCUCCUCUCCUUCGGGCCAAACUACGCUUUCACUUUAGAGAAAGCGUACUACCGGAGAAGGCGCUUUCUGUUUUUACGGCUGAGGGCCUGUUUGUGAAGAUUUCAUCACAGAUAGGUCCCUGGCAGAAAAACAUUACAUCUUUUUACCCACAACUCCAAAUGAGAUGAUUCCAAAGCCCACUUCUUCGUUUCAUCGAGCCCGUUCUGAUGGAACCAUUUUCACCAUGUUUUGACAUUCUGAAAAUGACCAUUUUGCCCCUGCACUUAUUCAGCCUCCUCCGAGAGAGUACGUUUUCCGGCAAUCCUUUCCGCGAGUUUCUCGCACUUUCUCCCAGUGAUUUCUUCCACCCCAGGAAAGCCACACCCUCCAUUGGCAUGAUUGCAAUGCAGUGACAUGGUUUAAAUUAUUUGAACUUGUUUAAAAUAUUGCUUUAGCUACAUGACUUUGUGCAUGGCAAUUUCUCGGAGUUGUAUUUUUAUCUUGUUAUUGCCAUGAUGUUUCUUGGAGUUCUAGGACUUUUAUUUUGCAGCUUAUGUGGUUGACAUGCUGCCAUUGGAUUAUUAGUGGCUUAUGUUAUGAUGGUGGUGUUGGGUAUGAUAUUUUUGGAGUAUUUGCUUUGGAUGUCAUACUGCCUUUGGAUUAUUAGUGGUUAGUAUGAUUAUUUUCAUGAUGAUACCUGUCAUUAUAUCUUGGAGUAUUUGCUUUGGAUGUCAUACUGCCUUUGGAUUAUUAGUGGUUAGUAUGAUUAUUUUCAUGAUGCUAGUUGAUGUUCUGUUGCUUGGAGUAUUAUUUUCGGAGAUGAUGUUUACAUGUGGAUCUUAGCCGAAUAGCUUUAUUCUUGUUAUUGGAGUAGUAGGAGUAUUGUUUUCAGAUUCAUCAUGACAGUAGUGUUGUGCUACCCUUGGAGUAUUUUGAGAUGAUGAUAUUAUGCUUGGAUUAUUUGUUGGAUAUUGCUAUGAUUUGGAUUAUAGUUUUAUAGUUGAUAUUGGAGUAGCAGUUACCAGAGCUAUAUUUUUGGGGAUAAAUUCUGUCAUUAAGUUGGUCAGGUGCCGCCGAACCGGGCUUUUCCAGUGCAACCACAUUUGCCUUUAUGGCAAGGCCCUAAUGCGGUCUAUUGUCGUGCCUCUCGCCGGUGCCUCUAACUAGGGAAGGUUAUGGGCGUGCAUACCCUGGCCCGGUAAGCAGACAUAACCUUGUGUGCCCGUAGUUGGAUUUUGCGCGUGUGUCCGCAAGUGGGAGUUUCCCCGAGUGGGAGUUUGGCCACGACGGUGGUCGGGGUGUCUUUGGUAGACACAGGGCCACCCAGGACUAGCCCAGUUGGGAGUGGGUCGGAGUGGACGGGAGAGCGUCAUGGCAGUAGAUCGGUUUUGUCGGAACGCCGUUGGUCCACCCCGAAUGGAAGUACGAGGCCAUGGGUUCUGUGGUGUGGGUGUUGGGGAACGUUGCAGAAAACAAAAAAUUUCCUACGGUUUCACCAAGAUCCAUCUAUGAGUUCAUCUAUCAAUGAGCGAUUGGAUGCAUCUACGUACCUUGUAGAUCGCGAGCGGAAGCGUUCAAAGAAUGGGGAUGAGGGAGUCGUACUCGACGUGAUUCGAAUCACCGAAGAUCCUAGCACCGAAUGGACGGCACCUCCGCGUUCAACACACAUACGGUCAGCGUGACGUCUCCUUCUUCUUGAUCCAGCAAGAGGGAAGGAGAGGUUGAGGAAGAUGGCUCCAGCAGCAGCACGACGGUGUGGUGGUGAUGGAGCUGCAGUACUCCGGCAGGGCUUCGCCAAGCACUAUGGAGGAGGAGGAGGUGUUGGAGAGGGAGAGGGAGGCACCAAAGAUCAAGGUAAGAAGUCCUCCAUCUCCCCACUAUAUAUAGGAGGGCCAAGGGGGGGGGGCGCCGGCCCUAGGAGAUCUAAUCUCCUAGGGUGGUGCGGCCAAGGGGAGGAAUCCCUCCUCCCCAAGGCACCUAGGAGGUGCCUUCCCCUCCUAGGACUCUUCCUCCUUGAAACCCUAGGCGCAUGGGCCUCUUGGGGCUGGUGCCCUUCGCCCAUGUAGGCCAAGGCGCACCCCCUACAGCCCAUGUGGCCCCCCGGGACAGGUGGCCCCACCCGGUGGACCACCGGGACCCUUCCGGUGGUCCCAGUACAAUACCGAUGACCCCGAAACUUGUCCCGAUGCCCGAAACAGGACUUCCCUUAUAUAAAUCUUUACCUCCGGAGCAUUCCGGAACUCCUCGUGACGUCCGGGAUCUCAUCCGGGACUCCGAACAACAUUCAGGUUACUGCAUAUACAUAUCCCUACAACCCUAGCGUCACCGAACCUUAAGUGUGUAGACCCUACGGGUUCGGGAGACAUGUAGACAUGACCGAGAUCGCUCUCCGGUCAAUAACCAACAGCGGGAUCUGGAUACCCAUGUUGGCUCCCACAUGAUCCUCGAUGAUCUCAUCGGAUGAACCAUGAUGUCGAGGAUUCAAGCAACCCCGUAUACAAUUCCCUUUGUCAAUCUGUAUGUUACUUGCCCGAGAUCCGAUCGUCGGUAUCCCAAUACCUCGUUCAAUCUCGUUACCGGCAAGUCACUUUACUCGUACCAUAAUGCAUGAUCCCGUGACCAGACACUUGGUCACUUUGAGCUCAUUAUGAUGAUGCAUUACCGAGUGGGCCCAGUGAUACCUCUCCGUCAUACGGAGUGACAAAUCCCAGUCUUGAUCCGUGUCAACCCAACAGACACUUUCGGAGAUACCCGUAGUAUACCUUUAUAGUCACCCAGUUACGUUGUUUCGUUUGGCACACCCAAAGCACUCCUACGGUAUCCAGGAGUUACACGAUCUCAUGGUCUAAGGAAAAGAUACUUGACAUUGGAAAACUCUAGCAAACGAACUAUACGAUCUUAUGCUAUGUUUAGGAUUGGGUCUUGUCCAUCACAUCAUUCUCCUAGUGAUGUGAUCUCAUUAUCAAUGACAUCUAAUGUCCAUAGUCAGGAAACCAUGACUAUCUGUUGAUCAACGAGCUAGUCAACUAGAGGCUUACUAGGGACAUGUUGGUGUCUAUUAUUCACACAUGUAUUACGAUUUCCAGAUAACACAAUUAUAACAUGAAUAAAGACAAUUAUCAUGAACAAAGAAAUAUAAUAAUAAUGCUUUUAUUAUUGCCUCUAGGGCAUAUUUCCAACAGUCUCCCACUUGCACUAGAGUCAAUAAUCUAGUUACAUUGUGAUGAAUCGAACACCCAUGGAAUUCUGGUGUUGAUCAUGUUUUGCUCUAGGGAGAGGUUUAGUCAACGGAUCUGCUACAUUUAGGUCCGUGUGUACUUUACAAAUAUCUAUGUCUCCAUCUUGAACAUUUUCACGAAUGGAGUUGAAGCGACGCUUGAUGUGGCUUGUCUUCUUGUGAAACCUGGGCUCCUUGGCAAGAGCAAUAGCUCCAGUGUUGUCACAGAAGAGUUUGAUUGGCCCCGACGCAUUGGGUAUGACUCCAAGGUCGGUGAUGAACUCCUUCACCCAAAUUGCUUCAUGCGCUGCCUCCGAGGCUGCCAUGUACUCCGCUUCACAUGUAGAUCCCGCCACGACGCUCUGCUUGCAACUGCACCAGCUUACUGCCCCACCAUUCAAAAUAUACACGUAUCCAGUUUGUGACUUAGAGUCAUCCAGAUAUGUGUCGAAGCUAGCGUCGACGUAACCCUUUACGACGAGCUCUUCGUCACCUCCAUAAACGAGAAACAUUUCCUUAGUCCUUUUCAGGUACUUUAGGAUAUUCUUGACUGUUGUCCAGUGUUCCUUGCCGGGAUUACUUUGGUACCUUCCUACCAAACUUACGGCAAGGUUUACAUCAGGUCUGGUACACAACAUGGCAUACAUAAUAGAACCUAUGGCUGAGGCAUAGGGGAUGACACUCAUCUCUUCUAUAUCUUCUGCCAUGGUAGGACAUUGAGCUGAGCUCAAUUUCACACCUUGUAACACAGGCAAGAACCCCUUCUUAGACUGAUCCAUAUUGAACUUCUUCAAUAUCUUAUCAAGGUAUGUGCUUUGUGAAAGACCUAUGAGGCAUCUUGAUCUAUCUCUGUAGAUCUUGAUGCCUAAUAUAUAAGCAGUUCUCCAAGGUCCUUCAUUGAAAAACUCUUAUUCAAGUAGGCCUUAAUGCUGUCCAAGAGUUCUAUAUCAUUUCCCAUCAAAAGUAUGUCAUCUACAUAUAAUAUGAGAAAUGCUACAGAGCUCCCACUCACUUUCUUGUAAACACAGGCUUCUCCAUAAGUCUGUGUAAACCCAAACGCUUUGAUCAUCUCAUCAAAGCGAAUGUUCCAACUCCGAGAUGCUUGCACCAGCCCAUAAAUCGAGCGUUGGAGCUUGCACACCUUGUCAGCAUUCUUAGGAUCGACAAAACCUUCUGGCUGCAUCAUAUACAAUUCUUCCUUAAGGAAACCAUUAAGGAAUGUCGUUUUGACGUCCAUUUGCCAUAUUUCAUAAUCAUAGAAUGCGGCAAUCGCUAACAUGAUUCGGACGGACUUCAGCUUCGCUACCGGUGAGAAAGUCUCAUCGUAGUCAACCCCUUGAACUUGUCGAUAACCCUUAGCGACAAGCCGAGCUUUAUAGAUGGUCACAUUACCAUCCGUGUCUGUCUUCUUCUUAAAGAUCCAUUUAUUUUCUAUGGCUCGCCGCUCAACGGGCAAGUCAGUCAAAGUCCAUACUUCAUUUUCAUACAUGGAUCCUAUCUCGGAUUUCAUGGCUUCUAGCCAUUUGUCGGAAUCCGGGCCCGCCAUCGCUUCUUCAUAGUUCGAAGGUUCACCGUUGUCUAACAACAUGAUUUCCAAGACAGGGUUGUCGUACCACUCUGGUGCGGAACGUGUCCUUGUGGACCUUCGAAUUUCAGUAGGAGCUUGAUCAGAAGCAUCUUGAUCAUCAUCAUUAACUUCCUCUCUAGUCGGCGCAGGCACCUCAGGAACAUUUUCUUGAGUUGCGCCAUUUUCUGGUUCAAGAGGUAAUACUUCAUCAAGUUCUACUUUCCUCCCACUUACUUCUUUCGAGAGAAACUCUUUCUCUAGAAAGGACCCAUUCUUGGCAACAAAGAUCUUGCCUUCAGAUCUGAGGUAGAAGGUAUACCCAAUAGUUUCUUUAGGGUAUCCUAUGAAGACGCAUUUUUCCGAUUUGGGUUCGAGCUUUUCAGGUUGAAGUUUCCUGACAUAAGCAUCGCAUCCCCAAACUUUUAGAAACGACAGCUUAGGUUUCUUCCCAAACCAUAAUUCAAACGGUGUCGUCUCAACAGAUUUUGAUGGAGCCCUAUUUAAAGUGAAUGCGGCAGUCUCUAAAGCAUAGCCCCAAAACGAUAGUGGUAAAUCGGCAAGAGACAUCAUAGAUCGCACCAUAUCUAAUAGAGUGCGAUUACGAUGUUCGGACACACCAUUACGCUGAGGUGUUCCAGGCGGCGUGAGUUGUGAAACUAUUCCACAUUUUCUUAAGUGUGUGCCAAACUCGUGACUCAAGUAUUCUCCUCCAUGAUCUGAUCGCAGGAACUUGAUUUUCCAGUCACAUUGAUUCUCAACCUCACUCUAAAAUUCCUUGAACUUUUCAAAGGUCUCAGACUUGUGUUUCAUUAAGUAGACAUACCCAUAUCUACUCAAGUCAUCAGUGAGGGUGAGAACAUAACGAUAGCCACCGCGAGCCUCAACACUCAUUGGACCGCACACAUCAGUAUGUAUGAUUUCCAAUAAGUUGGUUGCUCGCUCCAUUGUUCCUGAGAACGGAGUCUUGGUCAUUUUACCCAUGAGGCAUGGUUCGCACGUGUCAAAUGAUUCGUAAUCAAGAGACUCUAAAAGUCCAUCAGCAUGGAGCUUCUUCAUGCGUUUGACACCUAUGUGACCAAGGCGGCAGUGCCACAAGUACGUGGGACUAUCAUUAUCAACCUUACAUCUUUUGGUACUCACACUAUGAAUAUGUGUAGCAUUACGCUCGAGAUUCAUUAAGAAUAAACCAUUCACCAUCGGAGCAUGACCAUAAAACAUAUCUCUCAUAUAAAUAGAACAACCAUUAUUCUCGGAUUUAAAUGAGUAGCCAUCUCGUAUUAAACGAGAUCCUGAUACAAUGUUCAUGCUCAAACUUGGCACUAAAUAACAAUUAUUGAGGUUCAAAACUAAUCCGAUAGGUAAAUGUAGAGGUAGCGUGCCGACGGCGGUCACAUCGACUUUGGAACCAUUCCCGACGCGCAUCGUCACCUCGUCCUUCGCCAGUCUCCGCUUAUUCUGCAGCUCCUGCUUUGAGUUACAAAUGUGAGCAACUGCACCGGUAUCAAAUACCCAGGAAAUACUACGAGUACUGGUAAGGUACACAUCAAUUACAUGUAUAUCACAUAUACCUUUCGUUUUGCCGGCCUUCUUGUCCGCUAAGUAUUUGGGGCAGUUCCGCUUACAGUGACCACUUUCCUUGCAAUAAAAGCACUCAGUCUCGGGCUUGGGUCCAUUCUUUGGCUUCUUCCCGGUAGCUUGCUUGCCGGGCGCGGCAACUCCCUUGCCAUCUUUCUUGAAGGUUUUCUUACCCUUGCCUUUCUUGAACUUAGUGGUUUUAUUCACCAUCAACACUUGAUGUUCCUUUUUGACUUCUACCUCUGCUGAUUUCAGCAUUGCAAAUACUUUAGGAAUGGUCUUUUCCAUCCCCUGCAUAUUGAAGUUCAUCACAAAGCUCUUGUAGCUCGGUGGAAGCGACUAAAGGAUUCUGUCAAUGACCGCGUCAUCCAGGAGAUUAACUCCCAGCUGAGUCAAGCGGUUAUGCAACCCAGACAUUUUGAGUAUGUGCUCACUGACAGAACUAUUUUCCUCCAUCUUAUAGCUGAAGAUUUUGUCGGAGACUUCAUAUCUCUCGACCCGGGCAUGAGCUUGGAAAACCAUUUUCAGCUCUUCGAACAUCUCAUAUGCUCCGUGUCUCUCAAAAUGUUUUUGGAGCCUCGGCUCUAAGCUGUAAAGCAUACCGCACUGAAUGAGGGAGUAGUCAUCGGUACGUGCCUGCCAAGCGUUCAUAACGUCUUGUUCUGCAGGGAGAACAGGUGCGUCACCCAGCGGUGCUUGUAGGACAUAAUCUUUCUUGGCAGCUAUGAGGAUGAUCCUCAGGUUCCGGACCCAGUCCGUAUAGUUGCUGCCAUCGUCUUUCAGCUUGGUUUUCUCUAGGAACACGUUGAAGUUGAGGACUACGUUGGCCAUUUGAUCUACAAGACAUAUUGUAAAUAUUUUAGACUAAGUUCAUGAUAAUUAAGUUCAUCUAAUCAAAUUAUUCAAUGAACUCCCACUUAGAUAGACAUCCCUCCUGUCAUCUAAGUAUAACAUGAUCCGAGUUAACUAGGCCGUGUCCGAUCAUCACGUGAGACGGACUAGUCAACGUCGGUGAACAUCUUCAUGUUGAUCGUAUCUUCUAUACGACUCAUGCUUGACCUUUUGGUCUUCUGUGUUCCGAGGCCAUGUUUGUACACAUGCUAGGCUCGUCAAGUCAACCUAAGUGUUUUGCAUGUGUAAAUCUGUCUUACACCCGUUGUAUGUGAAUGUUAGAAUCUAUCACACACGAUCAUUACGUGGUGCUUCGAAACAACGAACUGUCGCAACGGUGCACAGUUAGGGGGAACACUUUCUUGAAAUUAUUAUGAGGGAUCAUCUUAUUUACUACCGUCGUUCUAAGCAAACAAGAUGAAAAACAUGAUAAACAUCACAUGCAAUCAAAUAAUAAUAGUGACAUGAUAUGGCCAAUAUCACAUAGCUCCUUUGAUCUCCAUCUUGGAGCUCCAUGAUCAUCUUGUCACCGGCAUGACACCAUGAUCUCCAUCAUCAUGAUCUCCAUCAUUGUGUCUCCAUGAAGUUGCUCGCCAACUAUUACUUCUACUACUAUGGCUAACGCGUUUAGCAAUAAAGUAAAGUAAUUUACAUGGCGUUUCUCAAUGACACGCAGGUCAUACAAAAAUAAAGGCAACUCCUAUGGCUCCCGCCGGUUGUCAUACUCAUCGACAUGCAAGUCGUGAUUCCUAUUACAAUAGCAUGAACAACUCAUACAUCACAUAUAUAUCAUUCAUCAUUCAUCACAACUUUGGCCAUAUCAUAUCACAAAGCACUUGCUACAAAAACAAGUUAGACGUCCUCUAAUUGUUGUUGCAAGUUUUACGUGGCUGAAGUAGGGUUCUAGCAAGAACGUUUUCUUACCUACGUGAAAGCCACAACGUGAUUUGUCAACUUCUAUUUACCCUUCAUAAGGACCCUUUUCAUCGAAUCCACUCCAACUAAAGUAGGAGAGACAGACACCCGCCAGCCACCUUAUGCAACUUGUGCAUGUUAGUCGGUGGAACCGGUCUCACGUAAGCGUACGUGUAAGGUUGGUCCGGGCUGCUUCAUCCCACAAUACCGUUGAAGCAAGAUAAGACUAGUAGCGGCAAGAAAGUUGACAACAUCAACGCCCACAACAAAUUGUGUUCUACUCGUGCAAGAGAACUACGCAUAGACCUAGCUCAUGAUGCCACUGUUGGGGAACGUUGCAGAAAACAAAAAUUUUCCUACGGUUUCACCAAGAUCCAUCUAUGAGUUCAUCUAGCAACGAGCGACUGGAUGCAUCUACGUACCUUGUAGAUCGCGAGUGGAAGCGUUCAAAAAACGGGAUGAGGGAGUCGUACUCGACGUGAUUCGAAUCACCGAAGAUCCUAGCACCGAACGGACGGCACCUCCGCGUUCAACACACGUACGGUCAGCGUGACGUCUCCUUCUUCUUGAUCCAGCAAGAGGGAAGGAGAGGUUGAGGAAGAUGGCUCCAGAAGCAGCACGACAGCGUGGUGGUGAUGGAGCUUCAGUACUCCGGCAGGGCUUCGCCAAGCACUAUGGAGGAGGGGGAGGUGUUGGAGAGGGAGAGGGAGGCACCAAAGAUCAAGGUAAGAAGUCCUCCAUCUCCCCACUAUAUAUAGGAAGGCCAAGGGGGGGGCGCCGGCCCUAGGAGAUCUAAUCUCCUAGGGUGGUGCGGCCAAGGGGAGGAAUCCCUCCUCCCCAAGGCACCUAGGAGGUGCCUUCCCCUCCUAGGACUCUUCCUCCUUGAAACCCUAGGCGCAUGGGCAUCUUGGGGCUGGUGCCCUUGGCCCAUGUAGGCCAAGGCGCACCCCCUACAACCCAUGUGCCCCCCCCCGGGACAGGUGGCCCCACCCAGUGGACCCCCGGGACCCUUCCGGUGGUCCCGGUACAAUGCCGAUGACCCCGAAACUUGUCCCGAUGCCCGAAACAGGACUUCCCAUAUAUAAAUCUUUACCUCUGGACCAUUCCGGAACUCCUCGUGACGUCCGGGAUCUCAUCCGGGACUCCGAACAACAUUCGGGUUACUGCAUAUACAUAUCCCUACAACCCUAGCGUCACCGAACCUUAAGUGUGUAGACCCUACGGGUUCGGGAGACAUGUAGACAUGACCGAGAUCGCUCUCCAGUCAAUAACCAACAGCGGGAUCUGGAUACCCAUGUUGGCUCCCACAUGCUCCUCGAUGAUCUCAUCGGAUGAACCACGAUGUCGAGGAUUCAAGCAACCCCGUAUACAAUUCCCUUUGUCAAUCGGUAUGUUACUUGCCCGAGAUCCGAUCGUCGGUAUCCCAAUACCUCGUUCAAUCUCGUUACCGGCAAGUCACUUUACUCGUACCGUAAUCCAUGAUCCCGUGACCAGACACUUGGUCACUUUGAGCUCAUUAUGAUGAUGCAUUACCGAGUGGGCCCAGUGAUACCUCUCCGUCAUACGGAGUGACAAUUCCCAGUCUUGAUCCGUGUCAACCCAACAGACACUUUCGGAGAUACCCGUAGUAUACCUUUAUAGUCACCCAGUUACGUUGUGACGUUUGGCACACCCAAAGCACUCCUACGGUAUCCGGGAGUUACACGAUCUCAUGGUCUAAGGAAAAGAUACUUGACAUUGGAAAACUCUAGCAAACGAACUAUACGAUCUUAUGCUGUGUUUAGGAUUGGGUCUUGUCCAUCACAUCAUUCUCCUAAUGAUGUGAUCUCGUUAUCAAUGACAUCUAAUGUCCAUAGUCAGGAAACCAUGACUAUCUGUUGAUCAACGAGCUAGUCAACUAGAGGCUUACUAGGGACAUGUUGGUGUCUAUUAUUCACACAUGUAUUACGAUUUCCGGAUAACACAAUUAUAGCAUGAAUAAAGACAAUUAUCAUGAACAAAGAAAUAUAAUAAUAAUGCUUUUAUUAUUGCCUCUAGGGCAUAUUUCCAACAGUGGGUACAGUGUGCUACCUCUGCAAAGUGUAUUAAUCUAUCGAUAGUCGCAUCCUAGGUCCCACCGUUCGAUCAACACUCACAUGACGGAAUGACUUAUAGGUGAUUUAUAUGGUGAUAUGUUGAGCAGUACAGAUUGACAGGAUGUUGAUGAUGAUGUUGGAGACCAAGUAUUGGUCAUGGUAGUGAUCGCCGGAAAGAUCACAGUUUGAGACCAAGUGUUGGUUAUGGUAGUGAUCUCCGGAAAGAUUACUAUUUGAGACCAAGUGUUGGUCGUGGUAGUGAUCGCCGGAAAGAUCACAGUUUGAGACCAAGUGUUGGUCAUGUAGUGAUCACCGAAAAGAUCACCAUAUGUUUUCGAUCAUGAGUUGAUCGAGAGGGUAUAUUGCUUGGCCGGUUAGCCAAGAGAGAUAUGGUUAUGGAGAUCCAAGAUGGUGAUGUAUCAACAUUGUAUUAGUUUAUCUCAUGCUUAGUAGUUGCUUCAUCGUGGUAGUUGAUAAUUAAUUAACCUUCUGAUGCUAUGUUAUUGUCUUGCCUUGAUGUUUAUGGUUGUUGUGAGCUUGCAAGUACAUUCAAUGUACUGACCUGGCGUGUCAUGCCAGAUUGCAGGUGAUGUCGUGAUUGCUUGAUUGCUUGUCGUGGUUUCCGUUCGUGCGAGCUAGAUCGUGUCCCAGCCAGACUCCCUGCGGAGUGGAGUUCACCACCUUCGUCGUUGUUCCGCUGCUAGAAGUUUUCCGCUGCUACGAGAUGUUUCGCUGCUAGCAUAGAGCAAGUGUAGUAUCGUAGGCGUAGUUUCGCCAUGCUGAUGUGAUUAUUGUAACACCAGACCCGUGUAAUUAUUAUUCUUGUAAUAAGAGCUGAUUUGUUCUAUGUCAAGCAGUGCCGUAUUCCAGAGACUUCUCCUCGAUCUCUGGGCUGGAAUACGGGGCGUU
rnacentral:lncRNA from 1 species